GCAUGUGCGCGAGUCAUUGGGACUCUGUUAAACCUAAAGGCGCAAUGAAAGUAAAGGUCCGCCUCGCGCGGACCGAGGGAGGAUGGGCCCGUCCCCGGGCGGGCCCCGCACUCCCGGGGCGUCUCGUUCUCAUCGCGAGAAGAGGCGCACCCAGAGCGUACACGCUGGGACCCGAAAGAUGGUGAACUAUGCCUGGUCAGGACGAAGUCAGGGGAAACCCUGAUGGAGGUCCGUAGCGAUUCUGACGUGCAAAUCGAUCGUCGGAACUGG
rnacentral:rRNA from 1 species